UACGUAGGAGACGAGCGUUGUCCGGAAUUACUGGCGUAAAGCGCGUGUAGGCGGAUGGCGAAGAUCUGCUGUGAAAAGCUCCUGGCUUAACCGGGAGUGUCGGUGGAAACUGCCAAUCUGGAGGACGGUAGAGGUAGGUAGAAUUCCCGGUGUAGUGUGAAAUGCGUAGAGAUCGGGAGGAAUACCUGUGCGAAGGCGCCCCUGGGCGAUACUGACGCUCAUGCACGAAAGCGUGGGGAGCAAACAGG
rnacentral:rRNA from 1 species